AGUCCAAACCACUGUCUCCUGCGUGAGAUACGUUUCGACCCGGAGCUCUGCCAUUAAACUGCCUCAUGUUUUUACAUCAAGAUGGUCUGUUUGUUCGUGAUCCUUGGGAGCAUGCCGAAUCGGGAAUUGAGUGGGGGUUUCCCCACUAGAUUCUUUCAUUUGGAGUCCCCAGUGAGAUCUGUGUGACACCCAGGAACCCCGAAAGACCCCUUGGAGGCACCAAGAAGCCAUCUCCAUCUCCAUGUUUCCAGUGUGAUCAAUCACCAAUACAAAGGAGUUCAUGUGACAGCUGCGCCACUUUUAAUAUGAAGCACUUAUUGAAUUAUAUAUGUCCAUUCCGUUCUGUCUGCUCAGCGUCCAGGACCCCCGAGGGAAGGCACCAUCUCCACAGAAGGUCCAACAUCUUUGUAGAAGAAAAGCCAACUGGGGACAGUGCCUCUUGCUUCCUUACUUCUGUCCUUCCUGGGGAUUUCUCCCCAGGGCCAGAAAGUGGGUAGUAAGAUUAGUGAACGGGGUAGAGUAUCAAGGGGUCAGAGAAGAAGUGUUAGUGACGAUUACAACAGGAACACAUCCAGCUGCAGUGAGGCACAGGAUGGAGCAGAUGGUGGUGGGUGCCUGGGGUUGGAGAAGCAGACGUGGCACAAUGCGUGAGGGAGGAUCACCAGCCAGAGAAGGCCGGUCAGGUCUGGCCAGACACAGGUUGUUUUUUGUUUGGUUGGUUGGUUGGUUUUUCAUUUUUCCAAUACAGGGUUUCCUUGAAAAACCCUGGCUGUCCUGGAACCCACUCUGUAGAGCAGGCUGGCCUCGAACUCAGAAAUCCGCCCGCCUCUGCCUCCUGAGUGCUGGCGUUAAAGGCGUGCGCCACAUGCACGCCUGAGUCCGUGCCCAGGGAGCUGCCGGUGCCUUAGCAUCUGAGCUGCAGCAGCUGAAGGAGUUGUCUUCUUUAGGCUCAAGAACCUGAAACAGCAGCUGCUACCCACCUCAGUGCUUGAGGGUCACAUAGUCUACGUCUUCCUUUGCCUGGGGCCGCUUACCAGCCCCAAACUGAACCAGCUCUGAGUAAUGGAUGCUCUCAUCCUCCGGGCAGCUCGGAUUCACAUUCUCAUAAUCCCCCUGCAAAGCACAUGAAGGUGAGGCAGGCCGGGGUGACCAGCCUUCCUCCAUUCCCUCUCAAGCCUUCUCCCACUGGGUCCCCAAUGUCCAAAAUGUGGGGUCUGUGGGAGGUGACUAUAUUGAUGGGUUAAUAGAUAAUCAAGGCAGAGACUGUUUUAGGGAGUUGAGUUCUCUAUGGCAUAUGCCCCAGCUGUGAAAUAAGCUUCUUUCCAUUAUAAACUACCGGGUCUUGCAUAUUCAAUUAUAGCAAUAGAAAAUAGACUUAAGUCUGCCACCAUUCCCAACUUCACUGUCUGUGUGUCCCAUGACCAGCUCUCAGUUGAGACCCCAGCCUUCCAUAGCUCUGCCCUCUUACCAUAGGCCGCUUCUGUAUCACCGAGUAAGUGACCGAGUCGCUGUUGUUUGGAGGAGGAGCCUGUGUUGCUGGGGUCCCUGCAUCUCUGAGAGAAAGGAGAUGGCUACACAUGAGCUUUCCCAGCAGCGCUUCGACCCCAGCCCCUUAGGGGAGGACUUCUCUGUGCACAGCACCAGAGCAGCAGCUAAUGAAAAUGGCUGUGUGAAUGUAUCACAACACUGUCAACCUGCCGUGCAGCCUGGCUCUGGACACCAGCUUCUGAACUAAAGACACACGUCCCUUCUGAGGCCUGUUACCUUGUCAUGCAGCAAGAAUAAGGGAAUGAGUGUACGUGUAUGGUGAAGCCUUGUACAGGUCCGGCACAAAGAGGGCAGACUAGGACACACUGUUUUCCUCCCACACCCCUUGGGAAUUACAGCUACCAAACUCCAGUACCCUCCUUACCCAGUGUUGUGCGUGUCACUCUCUGGAAAGCGCAAGAUGGCAUAACUAACGGUGUCAUCCAUUGCCGGAUUGUAGCAUCCCUGGGAUUGGGGGCCUUCUGAGAGAGGGGUCCUCCUAGCCUGGAAGAUGCAAAGUGGAAGCUAUGGCUCUCUUCUCUGACCCCAUGCCUUGCCCCUGGCCUUUGACCCCAACAAUUCCCUGGAGGCUUUUUCUCAGUGCUUCUCCAGCACUGAGACUGCAGAUGCCCGUGUGCCCUCAAGCCCUUUUCUCAUCUGUUGUCUCCAAGGGCUACCCUGGAUCUCAUCUUCCUCUCGUCUUACCUUUUUGUUCCUCACAAAAAAGCUCUGGCCACUGGAAUUUUCCUGAAGCCCCUGCUGGCUGCGGUUUUGCUUCCAUCUAAGGAUCAAGGGGUUUGUGAGGGCAGGUGGGGAUGAUCCUGGCAGGCUGCGGGCUGUGGGGAGGGGACAGGAAGAGGAGGGGCAGCAGACAGACAGGGCUCACUUUUUCUGGAUUUUCAUCCCCCAGAUGGCCAGGAUGCAGAUAGUCAGGCAGAAGCCUAGUCCCAAGGCGACCCGCUUGCCGAUGGUCUCUGGACUGUCUGGUGAAGAAAGGUAAACAGGCCCACUCUGCCUUGUGAAGGCAGAGAGAGAGCAUUCUGUCCUUAUCCUUUCACGAAGCCUGGUCCUUCUUGCCUGCAGAUCUCCUCCUCAUAUGGGAGAUGGAUAGAGAAGAGGAUGGAGAAGAAGUCCCUGUCUUUCCACCCCUGAUAGCAGAGAAGAGACAAAUCUUUGCCUCUAGCAAGAGCUACUCCAUAGUCAGCUCUCACAGAAAGCCUGUGACCCUUGAGUUGGUUGCUGCCCUGCAACCCUGAGAACAGUUUGAUCAGACAGUCAAAACUUAAAGUGCACCCAGACAGACUCUGCUCCAACACAAGCCUGGUCCCUGGCUUGUCCUUGCAGGUGUGUCCACAGCAAGGGUUUCAGUUCGUCUCUGCCUUGAAGAGGGUGCUAGGGAGAUGGGAUGGGCUACAGUCAUUUGAAAGAGGCCAGCACAAACUGGGCAUGGUUACUCCUAUCUGUAAUCCCCACACUCAGGAGGCUGAGCCUGGAGUUCAAGGCCAACCUGGGCUGCAUAGCAAGACUCUUAUCUCAAACAAAAAAGUGUGGGUGGGUUUUGUAGGAAAGGGAGAUUUUUUUUAAAAGAUUUAUUUAUUAUAUGUAAGUACACUGAAGCUGUCUUCAGACACACCAGAAGAAGGCAUCAGAUCCCAUACAGAUGGUUGUGAGCCCCCAUGUGGUUGCUGGGAAUUGAACUCAGAACCUCUGGAAGAGCAGUCAAUGCUCUUACCUGCUGAGUCAUCUCUCCAGCCCAGGAGAUGAGGUUCUUUUGUUUUGUUUUUCUACAUAGCCCAGGCUGGCACUGGCCUUCACAUGGCAUCGCCACUCCAACCUCUCAAGGCCCUGUUCAGCUUCCUUUUUGUGCUUGAAAAGAUUUUUUAAAAAAACUAUAUGCUAGUAUUAUCUUGUUUAAAACACUAAAAUAUCAAAAGAUAAGAAAUAAGGAUCUUAGCUGGGUGGUGGUGGCCAACACCUUUAGUCACAGAACUUGGGAGGCAGAGGCAGAGGCAGAGGCAGAGGCAGAGGCAGAGGCAGAGGCAGAGGCAGAGGCAGAGGCAGAGGCAGAGGCAGAGGCAGAGGCAGAGGCAGAGGCAGAGGCAGGUAGAUCUCUGUGAGUUCAUGGCCAGCCUGGUCUAUAGAGCAAGUUCUGGGACAGCUAUGACUUCACAGGGAAACCCUUCCUUGAAAAGCAAAAACAAAACAAAACAAAACAAAAC
rnacentral:lncRNA from 1 species